AAGUCGUAACAAGGUUUCCGUAUGUGAACCUGCGGAAGGAUCAUUAACAAAUCGAACGUGCUGUCCUGGCGCAAGCCAUGGCACAGUCACAUCAACCCGAACCUGCCUCCUCACGGAGCAGGCGAGGUGUGGGCUGGCCCUCGCGGGCUGGCCUGCGGUGAAGGCCGGCGCAAGCUGGACGGAUCCACAUAGACGCUUUUUUAGUUUGACAGAUUUAAUGUAACCAUUAAAAAUGACAACUUUUAACAAUGGAUCUCUUGGCUCUU
rnacentral:misc_RNA from 1 species